UGAUCCUGGCUCAGGAUGAACGCUAGCGGCAAGCCUAACACAUGCAAGUCGAACGGUAACUUUUGGUGCUUGCACCGAAAGACGAGUGGCGAACGGGUGCGUAACGCGUAUGCAAUCUACCUUUUACUAGGGUAUAGCCCAGAGAAAUUUGGAUUAAUCCCCUAUAAUAUCAUUUAAUCGCAUGAUUUUAUGAUUAAAGCUUCGGCGGUAAAAGAUGAGCAUGCGUCCUAUUAGUUAGUAGGUGAGGUAAUGGCUCACCUAGACUCCGAUAGGUAGGGGUCCUGAGAGGGAGAUCCCCCACACUGGUACUGAGACACGGACCAGACUCCUACGGGAGGCAGCAGUGAGGAAUAUUGGACAAUGGACGAAAGUCUGAUCCAGCUAUGCCGCGUGCAGGAUGACGGCCCUAUGGGUUGUAAACUGCUUUUAUACAGGAAGAAAAACUCCGACGUGUCGGAACUUGACGGUACCGUAAGAAUAAGGAUCGGCUAACUCCGUGCCAGCAGCCGCGGUAAUACGGAGGAUCCAAGCGUUAUCCGGAAUCAUUGGGUUUAAAGGGUCCGUAGGCGGUUUUUUAAGUCAGAGGUGAAAUCCUGCAGCUCAACUGUAGAAUUGCCUUUGAUACUGAAAGACUUGAGUUAUUGUGAAGUGGUUAGAAUGUGUGGUGUAGCGGUGAAAUGCAUAGAUAUCACACAGAAUACCAAUUGCGAAGGCAGAUCACUAACAAUAUACUGACGCUCAGGGACGAAAGCGUGGGUAGCGAACAGGAUUAGAUACCCUGGUAGU
rnacentral:rRNA from 1 species